GUAUACUGGGCCUUAAAACCAGACCAACUAUGCAGGCUGUUUAGUACAACAGAGUGGCUGUGUGUUCUGCUUUACAGAGGGUAGUUUUCACAGGCGAGCCAGCAGUAAAUCACACUGUGCAGGUUGAAGUUAACUCUUCAUUUGCAAGAACAUGGGGGGGUGUUACCGUGCGGCGUGGUCCGUGUCUGGUCCGAGGCUAAAGCGGGGUCCAAGGCAGGGAGUCAGGCGUGGUCAGGAACUUUGGUAGAAAGCAGGACAGGGUGCCGGCAGGAACAGGUAACCAACGCUGUUGCUCCCGCAACCUGGGACUGGACAGGCUGGCCUUUAUCUCCUCUGAGGCAUAGGGCGGCCCUGGUCCACAGGUGACUCACCUCUCCUGGCCUGGAGGCAAGCACUCCUCCUGCGAGAACUUAGUUCCCUCCGCCUCUCUGCCCUGAGCCUCUGCAGCUCAGGAGAGGCUGGAGGGUUACCGGACCCAGAGGCAACCUCACCUUCCCCUGACAGGGCUGGGAGAGGAGCACCUGCAGGCAAUGGGUCCUCGAUCACCUCCGGAGCCAGAGUGGAUACAUCUGGUGUCUGCUCCUGAGGAUCCGGCACAGGUGCAGGCGCUUCAGAUUCAAGCCCCUGCCCCGGCUCAGCCAGCCCUGGAGGCGGGGACUCCUGUGCAGGCUGGGAUUCCUCAGGUUCAGCCUCUGAGUCCGAAUCCCAGGCCAUCACACAGAAUGUCAGGCCUAACAGCCAUCUAAGUUUCCUUGCCUCCAGGGUUUCCCCCCAAGCAAUCUGAGAUUUAGCCUCUGUGAAGCCAACCUCUCCUCCAACCUUUUAAUGCCUCUUCUGGUUCUGGGAAAUAAGAGGGGAAUGAAGCUUGCUCAUUAUUGUCCUACCAGCAGUAUCACUUUUUGUGAUGUCACAUGCCAGCAAUGUCAUGUGCUAGUGAUGUCAUAAUCGUGUACGUUUCCUUAACUCUCACGGCUGUAGCUGCUCCUGGCAAGUGGGGGCACUAUGUGAUCAAGACUGGACCUACCAUUAAGCAGAGUGAGGCAGUGGCAGGAGUAAGCCAGCAGUAAAUCACACUGAGCAAAUUGGAGUCAACUCUUUAUUCGCAAACACAGGAUCUACACAGGAAUGUCAGCCCUAAUGAGUACAGCAGCUCAUCUCUGGCAGGUCUUGUUGCCAUGAAACAUUUGCUGAGACUGAAGGUUCCCCCCUCCCCACAGCUGCCUGUCCCUUCCUCCCCAUUGUUACUCCCAAGCAAUCUGAGACGCUGCCUACGUGAAGAUAACUUUGCCUCCGCCCUCUUCAUGACUCUUCUGGUUCUGGGAGAUCAGCUGCAAGGGGAGCUUGCCACAGCAGGAGGGGGAGACACCUGUUCCUCUUCACCAGCUGGACUAAUCUCUGCCUCUUCGCCUCCCUCCUCCCCUGAUUCAGCUUCUGCCUCUGAUGCUCUGCCACAGAUUCUCCCAGCUCACUAAGCCCUGUUACCUCUCCAGCUUCUGACACCUCCUCUUCCAGGUCUUCUCCCUCUGACCACUCAUUAUCGUCCCACCACCAGUCCCUGGGCUCUGAGCCUUCUUCCCUUGAUGGUUCCCCAGCUGGUUCCUCCCAGCAUUCCUCUGCAUCCAGCCAGCCCAACAAUAUUCCUACGUUUGAAGGGCUACCCAGUUUAAAGAAAAACCAUAAGAUGGGAGAGCAAGGACCUUGAAUGCACCUGGGCAGCAGACUAGCCGCCUAGUCACAACCAUCUCCACCAUGGUGAGAUAUUUUGUAUAGCUCUGUUUUAAGUUACAGUAAUCACUUCAAAUUUUGCAUCUCCAUAUAUGUAUGCAUACAUUAUUUAUAAAUUUAAAUAUUUUAUGUGUGUAUAAAUCAGCACAUGC